rnacentral:rRNA from 1 species
UACGUAGGGUGCGAGCGUUGUCCGGAAUUAUUGGGCGUAAAGAGCUCGUAGGCGGUGUGUCGCGUCGGCCGUGAAAACCUGGGGCUCAACUCUGGGCGUGCGGUCGAUACGGGCAUCACUGGAGUUCGGCAGGGGAGACUGGAAUUCCUGGUGUAGCGGUGAAAUGCGCAGAUAUCAGGAGGAACACCGGUGGCGAAGGCGGGUCUCUGGGCCGAUACUGACGCUGGAGACGCGAAAAGCGUGGGGAGCGAACAGG